rnacentral:rRNA from 1 species
GAUGAACGCUGGCGGCGUGCCUAAUACAUGCAAGUCGAGCGAACGGACGAGAAGCUUGCUUCUCUGAUGUUAGCGGCGGACGGGUGAGUAACACGUGGAUAACCUACCUAUAAGACUGGGAUAACUUCGGGAAACCGGAGCUAAUACCGGAUAAUAUUUUGAACCGCAUGGUUCAAAAGUGAAAGACGGUCUUGCUGUCACUUAUAGAUGGAUCCGCGCUGCAUUAGCUAGUUGGUAAGGUAACGGCUUACCAAGGCAACGAUGCAUAGCCGACCUGAGAGGGUGAUCGGCCACACUGGAACUGAGACACGGUCCAGACUCCUACGGGAGGCAGCAGUAGGGAAUCUUCCGCAAUGGGCGAAAGCCUGACGGAGCAACGCCGCGUGAGUGAUGAAGGUCUUCGGAUCGUAAAACUCUGUUAUUAGGGAAGAACAUAUGUGUAAGUAACUGUGCACAUCUUGACGGUACCUAAUCAGAAAGCCACGGCUAACUACGUGCCAGCAGCCGCGGUAAUACGUAGGUGGCAAGCGUUAUCCGGAAUUAUUGGGCGUAAAGCGCGCGUAGGCGGUUUUUUAAGUCUGAUGUGAAAGCCCACGGCUCAACCGUGGAGGGUCAUUGGAAACUGGAAAACUUGAGUGCAGAAGAGGAAAGUGGAAUUCCAUGUGUAGCGGUGAAAUGCGCAGAGAUAUGGAGGAACACCAGUGGCGAAGGCGACUUUCUGGUCUGUAACUGACGCUGAUGUGCGAAAGCGUGGGGAUCAAACAGGAUUAGAUACCCUGGUAGUCCACGCCGUAAACGAUGAGUGCUAAGUGUUAGGGGGUUUCCGCCCCUUAGUGCUGCAGCUAACGCAUUAAGCACUCCGCCUGGGGAGUACGACCGCAAGGUUGAAACUCAAAGGAAUUGACGGGGACCCGCACAAGCGGUGGAGCAUGUGGUUUAAUUCGAGGCAACGCGAAGAACCUUACCAAAUCUUGACAUCCUUUGACAACUCUAGAGAUAGAGCCUUCCCCUUCGGGGGACAAAGUGACAGGUGGUGCAUGGUUGUCGUCAGCUCGUGUCGUGAGAUGUUGGGUUAAGUCCCGCAACGAGCGCAACCCUUAAGCUUAGUUGCCAUCAUUAAGUUGGGCACUCUAAGUUGACUGCCGGUGACAAACCGGAGGAAGGCGGGGAUGACGUCAAAUCAUCAUGCCCCUUAUGAUUUGGGCUACACACGUGCUACAAUGGACAAUACAAAGGGCAGCGAAACCGCGAGGUCAAGCAAAUCCCAUAAAGUUGUUCUCAGUUCGGAUUGUAGUCUGCAACUCGACUACAUGAAGCUGGAAUCGCUAGUAAUCGUAGAUCAGCAUGCUACGGUGAAUACGUUCCCGGGUCU